ACUCCUCCCAUGCACACGCACACUGACACAUGUCCACACUCACGCUCACCUCACUUUCAGCUGAGGCCACACUUCACGUUUCCGAGAGAAAGCGGGCGAGGCAGCAGGAGCUCUGAGGGAUAACUGGCUCGUCCGCUUGCCUGUGCCCCGGGGCACCUACAGAGUGGGUACGUGACUUCCGGGGUGUCUGUGAGGGCGUUUCUGGAAGAGCUUCGUGUUUGCAAUGGCGGACUGAACACAGCAGCUGGCCCCUCCCCAAGGUGGGUGGGCCUCGUCCAAUCUGUGGAAGCCGGAACAGGACAAAAAGGUGGAGGGCGUUUGGAUUCUCUCUGCCUGACCCAAGGCAGACAUCCGUUCCCUCUGGCCGUUGGUACUCCUGGUUCUCAGGGAUUCAGACUCUGACUGGCGUCCACUCCAUUGGAUCCCGGCCCUCAGGUCUUGGAACUUGCACUGCCAGCAUUCCUGGGUGUCCGGCUUGCGGACAGCAGAUCGUGGGACUUCUCAGCCUCCAGAAUUGCACGAAGUGUCUCCUUACGAAUCUCUUCCUAUGUACGUGUAUCCUAUUGGCUCUGUUUCUCUGCAGAACCCUGACUAAUGCAAACCCUCUCAUCUCACAGCAGUGCAUGUACAAACCCACUCACAUCUUCCCCUCCCCUGCCUUCCCUACCGCAAGUUCCCUCCGACCAGAGGCCAAUCCCGCUGCGGUGCCCCGGACCCACCCUCUGCACCAGCCUUCCUUCUUGUUUUCUAAAAGCUCGCGUUUUCUGUGGGCUUCCAAGGCUGCUCUUCAGUAUCUUUACGUCAGAGCCUCCCAGCUCCUUCCCCUCUCUCAAAAGCGUUUUCACAGGGACUGUAGGCUCCUUCCCUCCCCUUGAUAACCAAGUACUAUGCCCCAGGUUCUUACCUCACAGCCCAAAGUUGUCCUAAGUCGGGCCCUGACCUGAGUGUCUCCAAAUCCAGCAGGCCGUCUGCUCUCCUGUGACAUGCAGCAUCCCACGGCUUUUCCUAAAAGACCCCCUCUGUCAGCUUUGCUGUCACCCACCCUCCAGGGCUCUCUCUUACAGGUCUGCCCUUUGCUAGCAUCUUAGCCUCUCCACCUCCCGGUGGUCCUGUCUGCGAUGGACCCCCUCCAUGUGUCCCAAGGCCCUCCAAAGGAACAGGUCUGUAUCAGGUGCAAUUAGAUUGAGGUGCAAUGCAAGGGCUUGAAUUGCAGAGAGGUUCAUUUUUCUUUUUGUAGAAAAGUCUGGGACCAGCUGUCAGAGACUGAUUUGGCCACUCCAUGGUCACCAGGACCAGGCUGUGUCCAUCUUUUCUGUUCUGACCUUUUUCACAUGGGCCAUUGUCCAUGUCACCGCUGGUCACCAGCUGCAGCAGUCGCAUUCUUGCUCCGGGCAGCAGGAAGAAGGUGAGACCAGAAGGCAGAGGGGGCUGGUCCUGCCUGGUCAGCCCCCAGGGGGCUUUGCCCAGACACCCCUUCCCCACCCAUGGCUCUGCUGAUUUCUCUAUAGCUGCCACCCUCUGAAAAGGGAGCUGGCAGAGUAGUUCUUAGACAUGGCACCUGGCCACCUCUGUGGCUGAAGAAGAAGGGGGUUGAGGAUUGGGGUACACACCUGUCAGUCUCCAUGCAAUGCCCCAAAGUGGACCACUGACCCCACACCACGCUGUUCUCCUCUGAGUUUUCUCACCUCUGUCCAAAUGGCUGCAGAAGCCAAAAGCCCCAGAGCCCAGCUCCCCUUCCCUCCUUUCUCUUCCAUCCUUCCAUCCUUCCAUGAGCCUGCCCCUCAUCCUCCUCAGGGCUGGAACUGGCUGCCGGAUUCCUCCCUGGCUCCGUGGGGGCUGGCUCAGCAAUCUGAGCUGCCGAUGGCUCUGUGGUCCAGCUGGGAGGAUUCAUGCCCCAUUGGGGCUGAGAGGAAUGAGGUGAGGGCUGUGGGGUUUGCCCAGAAUCUCCUGAAAUAUCGGGCCCAGGAACUACAGCAGGACUCUCAUUCCGCCUUCUGGCCACUGUUGGGGGUGACACUGGCAGGAUCCAGGGGCUCUGGAAAGCUCCAGGGGAAAUUUGAGGCAUAACCCAGCUUCUCUGAGACGGAACUCAGGGAGGAUCCAGCUCAAUCCUACAGAGGCGACCCCAAGGAAGGACCUGCCCAGGGUCACUUGGAGAGCUGGGCGGGAGGAGGGAGAAACCUCCCCCGUUCAGAGUGACAAAGCCCCCCUUGCCUCAGGGAUGGCUGAGAUCCAAGUCCUCAAAACACGCCGCCAUCUGGAGGGUGUGAGAGCGAGGUCCGUCCUCAGCAUGGACGCUGCAGUGCACACUGUUCCGUGCCAGGUGCUGGCUGACCCUGCCCUGUGGGAGGUGAUGGACAGGCACACAGGGGGAGCCCCGCAAACAAGGGGCCCUGUUACAGCAGAGUGGGAGAGCGCCUGGUAGGACGCCAAGCACCGUGGCCGGGCUGCAGAGAGGCCUGCGGGACUUGUAGACAAGACGUCAUGGAGAAGGCGGAGCUCCCAUGGGCCUUGCAGGUUUCACCAAGCAAGAGCGGAGAAGACACAGGCUGGACAAAGGAAGGUGGACGGGACAGCCAGCCGUGCAGCAGCCUCACAGGACACAGCUACCAGACAGAGAGCACCAGCUGACACUCAUUCCUCCAGCACCAGGAAAUGCCACAGCAGAAGAGAGUCUUCAAGAUGGGCCAGACCCACUUCUGCAGCAUGGUUGCUGGGAGCCUGCACAGGCCAGGCAUUUCUCUACAGGUGCAAUUGAGAACUCACUGAGGCAAAAGGGCCUUUGUCAACCCACAGAAGUGACAAGUCCAAGUGCAGACCAGGCUUCAGGUAUGGCUUGAUGGAGGCACACACGCUGUCUUUCCAGCUUCCAGUGUAGGGUGUCUGGGUGCCCUCUACUGACAAGAUGGUAGCAGGAGCCAGAGACUUUCUGUCCUCUCAGUGACAAGUUCAGAGGGAAAGCCAGGGCCCUGGCCAACAUUUCCGUGUGUCCCCUCUGUGUACCCAGUCCUCACGUCCAUCUCUGUGUGGCUGGAGGAGUGUAAUGUCCAGAGCUGCUCGGGUCUAAAUCACUCAGGCCUCACCUGCCAGGAAAGGUGUUUCCCCAGCUUCAGGGACCAGAAGUGGGGGGAAGGAUGUCCCAGGAAAAUGUAGGUGGAUGUGUCCAGCAAAGAGUAACCAGACACUGGGGCAGCAAGGACCUAGGUUCACCCCAGAAGGCUGGCUUCCACCCAACAAAGACAUCACCAUGGGAGCUAGAGACAGACCGGGAGGAGGUGAGAGGACAGAGCCCAGGGUCCUUGCACGGCCCAGGCGGAAGGGGGCACUGAGUCAACAGAAAGGAAGAAAAAGGGAGUUCAGAGGGGACAGGGCUGUGCCAGCAGACAUGUGUGGGGACCCCAGGCCGGCGAGGGGCUGGCAAGGCAGGAAGGAGGGAGGCCAUGGCCAGUGUAAGCAGGGCCAUUUCACCUCCUGGGAGCUCAGCCUGACCGCCUGUGUGUCCUGCGGAGACUCCAUGGGGAGUGGAGAUCGUGUCAUGAGUCCUUAUUCGGGCACUUCACCCACAAGUCACUCUGAUCACGUCUGUGAGUCCUUAUUUGGGGGCUGCCCCACCGCAGUCGCUCCGACCACGUCUGUGAGUCCUUAUUUGGGGGCUGCCCCACCGCAGUCGCUCCGAUCACGUCUGUGGCUGCUUCUCCCACAGGCUCCCACAGGUUCCUGUGAUUAGGUCAUUUGCCACCGGGAGAGCUUGGGUCCCUCACUGUGCACCCCCACCCCCUUGCCACUGCCUGUGGAGUGCACGGCACAGCACCCCUCGAGGGGCGUGGUGUUGAACUAAUAUGCACUUGAGGGGUCCCUGACCACGGGAGGAGGGAGGGAGGGACGGGCAGGCAGACAUCAACAGCCGCCAGUGGCUCCCAGGCUCUCAUCUGAGACAGGACAGGGAGGUAGGGCGAGCCUGGAAUGAACGCUGGGUGGAAAUGCCCGGGGAACCACAGGGAGCAAGACGUGGACUCCAGGAAGAUGGUGCUCUGGUGGGUGGGAGUAUGGAGGGCAGAGGGCAGGGUGGCCAGGGUGGACCCUCUCCAUCAAGGGUCGCUGCAGGGAGGCAGGGCGAAGACGGGACGGGGAGAUGGUGGGUAUGGAGGGACAAGGGCAGAGAACUGGGCAGCCUAGGGCAGGCUCACCCUCAGACAGGCUGGCAGAAAGGGGUUGCCAGGCUGGCAGAAGAGGGGUCACCAGCAAAGCAGGAGUGGGCAGAGGCAAGAGGCACAGAAGGCAGAGGCCGUUCUGCCGCAGUGCAGCAUCCGAUCAGCGGCUGGUCAGCAGCUGGAGGCUACUCUCCUCUACUCCACAGGUCCAGUUGCUCUUCAGAACUCAAAAUCCCAUCUCUGCAGGUCUCAGCCAAUCCUGCUCCCGCCUGUUUUUAUUUCCUGCCCAGAGCAAGUACAGAACCGAGGGCCAUCGAUGGGCGAGAAAUCACUGUGCCUCCAAGCUGUAUUUUUCACCGUAACAAGUCAUUACUUCUGUGCCCGGAGUCAUUUCUCAGGAUCUUAAUGCAUUCGUUUAUCAAUCAAUACUUAACUGAUGUCUAUAAAGCAUGUUCAAAAUCAGAGGUGAGAGCAGCUCACCAGGUACCGACUUCGUGUCUGGAGCCACCUUGUUAAGGAGCAACCCUUGGCACGGGUCCCGUGUCUGCACCCUCGGGAGCUCUGGGUGGGUGCACUGGGGUCCUCACAGCCCUUCCCACCACCGCAGAUGGAAAUCUCUACCUGGCAGAGGGGCUCAGUCGUCCCCACCUGGGAGUCUGGGGCCUACCGGCAGCAGAAGGUGCAGUGGCCAAACACAGAGACAUUUCUAUCAUCAGACCUGGUCCCCAGCCUGACUCUGCUGCCCACUUACCCCUGGCCAGGGCGAGUUCAUCGACUGUGCCGAGCCUGGCUGCUUCUCCAGCCUAACAGGAGUCCCCGUCUCGACAGGACUGAGUGGGGUGAAUGCAGCCAAGUGCUCAGCAGAGACUGUCCCACCGGGAAGUGUUCACAAAUAUGGGCUGUUGAACCUGCUGUUGUUAGAUCUAGAUCCAGUUCUGCGACCACGUUCAUGACUUAGAUCAUAACUGAAGUGCGGGCCAGCCGAGGCCGGGCCGUUUAGGGGUUUGGCUGCUAAUUCAAGAAGGACACCUGGGUUUGGAUCCCAGAGUUCCCUCCAGACCCAGAUGUGGCCUCAGGCAGGUGAUGAGCCUGGAGAUGCGGUUUCAUUUUCUGCAGGGUGGUCAAAGGAGAUCUCAGGCUUGUAGGAGACAAAGCACAUCGCCCCGAACUGCUCAGGAGGCGCAGAUUACAGCCACCCUCCUUAUCCACCCCGUCUCCCAUCACAGCCCUCAUGAGUGCUCAAGCAAGGCUCAGGGCCUGAUGGACGUGGCUGCCUCCUCCUAGAGGACAGGCAUGUCUCGGCUGCCUGCACCAGCCAGCGGCCCUUCUCCCCGGCCAGGAGAUCCUCCAAGGAAGGCCAAGGGCCAAGCAGGUAGGCUAGGGAUGGGCUCUGGUACAUGGGCCCCAUUCCCAUGAUUGGAAACUUCCCAGGCGCCAUUUGUCACCUUGACUCGCUGUUUCAAGCCCGGCUCUCCCUGGGGCGCCAGGAGUGGGCCCAGGCCCUUCCGACAGCCGGCCUGCAGCUGUGCUGGUGACUGAUUGGGGAUGAGGCCACUGUCCCUGCCUUCCUGGGAGCCAGGAUGUUGAUUGAAUGGCCAUUUCACUCUCUCCAACAAGCAAGUAACAGUGUAAACUGGGGUCUAAUUUAUCAAAAACAGUCGCUUGUAUUCUGCGUGGCCCAUGUUCUGGGCUGAAACAGCCGCUACCCAGCUCCUGGCCCACGUGCGUGCGAUUUCCUGAUAUUUCAGUUUUAUGGAAGACAUCUCACUGACGAAUGUCUCUUAGUGAACGAUCAUUCUGGAAGCUAUUUUGCCUUCAAAGAGGCUUCUCCUGGAAUGGGCUGGGAGGGGCGGGCACCGUGUUAUAUAUAAAUUCACUGCCAGGAGCGCCCAGCAGGGGAGGGAAUGAGAUCGGCAGGAGAUGAGAAUGAAAUGUGUGCGGCUGCAGCCAAGCCUGUCCUCCCUGUCACCGUCCGAGGGCUGCUGGGAUGGGCGGGAAGGCCAGAUGUGGGACAGGUGGCCCAAGUGACGCCCCCAGCUUCACCACCUGCCACUGCCUGGCCUUGGGCAGCUCACUCCCUCUGGGAGCCUGGGCUUCUCACGGGGCAUAAUGAUUUACAAAUUGCUGCCACUUCUCUGCUUGCUCUCGACCAUCAUUACACGUCAGGCAGGGCUGGGACUGGAGGCUGAGCUGUGUCCCAGCUACGGGUGACCGUGCCAGAGCUGCCAGGGAUCCUGAGGCACAAUGAGAGCCUUCCUUCCACCCACCGUGCGCUUUCUGCCUGUGAUGUGGCCGAGACAUCGCAGGCUGUGGGGUCCUCAGCGCUCAGGCUCCCUGUACUCUCUCUCCCUGCAUACCUGGACCUCCGUUCUCUCUUGCUGGAGGCCUAGAAAAAGUCCCUGGAAUGAAAUCACUCAGGCUCUGGUGCAGACACUGGCACCGCCUGUCCAGGGGGCCCCGGAUAAGUCCCUCCCACUCUCUGGACUCAGGGGCCAUGUCUGCAAAUGAGGCUGGAAAACGAGAUGGUCCCUACAAGGCCCUCUGGUACCUGGAGGGACUGAGUGUCCCAGCCUGGGCCCUGCAGCAGCCCUUCCAUAUCAUGCAUGCAAGGGACUCUGAAUCCCAACCCCACCAUUAGAAGGGCCGCUGUCAGCCAAGAACAGGAUCGUCAUCCCCUCCGUCCCCUGCACAACGGAGCAUAGCUGCCCCUUUCUACCAUCUUUGUUCUAGGUUGAGGUUCUCAAAGGGGAGUCCCAGGCCAGCAGCAUCAGUCCCACCUUGUAGUGUGCUAGAAAUGCAGAUUCUCAGGCCCCUCUGCGGUCUAUAGAAUUCAGAAGUCAGGUGCUGGGGCCCAGGAAUCUACUUUAACAGGCUGCAUUUUCUGCAGCUGCUGGAGCAGAUGACCACAAACUCAGUGACUGCAGAGUGCACGCGCUCAUCACCUUACAGUUGUGUAGGCUGGGAUCCCACUGGGCUAAGACCAAGGUGUUGGGAGGCUGCGUUUCUUGCUGGAUGCUGUAAGGGAGAAGUCGUUUCCUCGUGUUUUUUUAACUUCCUUGGCCCACGGACCUUCCUCCACCUUCAAAGCCAGCAGCCUCGCGUCUUCUGACCUUCCAUUGUCACAUCGUCAUCUGACCCACGUAAGGACCCGUGUGAUUAGGGUGGGCGCACCCGGGUAAUCUUCCCAUCUCAAAGUCCUUGACUGAAUCACAUCUGCAAAGUCCCCUUUGCUACGUAAGGUCACAUGUUCACAAGAUCCAGGGAUUAGGACUUGGACAUUUUUGGAAGCCCAUUGUCCUGCCAACAGCACAAGACCUCCAGGUGAUCCUGAUGUGUAACGCACAGUGAGAGACAAAUGCUCUGAUGGACCAUCAACAGCAGAACGUAAGCAGGGAGAGGGACCCCGCCUUCCUCCCCAAUCUGGCCCUGUGCCUAGCAAAUUAUAGAACUUUUGUAAGCAAAUGAGUUCAUUUGUGAAUAAAUGAACGACCGGUGAGACGAAGAGCUGGGCGUAGCAGCCACAGGUGGGGCUGCCAAAUAAAAUGCAAGAUGCGUGGUUAAAUCUGAAUUUCAGAUAAAUAACAAGUACUUAUGUUUUUGGGGGUUUUUUUGUUUUUUUGUUUUUUUUUUGAGAUGGAG
rnacentral:lncRNA from 1 species